GGGGGGGGGGGCGGCGGCGGAUUUGCUCGGUUGUGAAGCCUUCACCUAAAAAUAUCUCCGUGGCUCCUCUGUGAUCUCCUUAACAACACCAGCCGUGCUUUGAGUCAAUCAACGGUAAUAGAGCAGCACAGUAGACUCGGUCAAUUCCUUGGACACGCUCCAGCCUUGGUGACUCCCGUAGCCGUCCCAGUCGAAGCCAGUGAAGUCGCCACACUGCCGAGGGCUGGCUUCUGCAAAGUAGCCGCCUCCGCCAAUGCAGUGCUAGGCAAAGGAAGCAAGAAGGGGGAGAAGACGAUGAGCACGCCAUCCAACCAAGAUCAGGCCGUUGAAGCAGUAGAGCAAUCAGCAAGGGCUUGAGAAAGCUGCUUCUGCAAAGGGAACCAUCUGGGGGAGUGCCAGGCCCGGUCCAGAGGAUGAGCCACGCUGCCACUGCUGCUGCCACCGCUGCCACCCUCCUCAGAUUACAGGUGCCCUCUCGCCCACGGCUAUUAGGAUUUUUAUUUUGGUAGGCACGGUCCCCUCCUUGCUUGUAAAGGGGAAUCCUCACUGGAUUCUCCUUUACAAACAUACCCCUGAACUGCCGAAUCGAUUCUGAACCGGUUUGUUAGAAAUGGGGCCGGUUCGGCUCGAAUCUGGACUGGCACCAAAACCGAACCAGCCGAGCCGGGACGGUUCUGUUCAAACAAAGUUUGUUCUGUUUUGUUCUGCUUUUUGUUCUACUAGGGUUUUGCACACCCCUAGUACUGGUGUGGUGGGGAGGAGUCCAGGGGUCUUGAACGGAGGCUCCCAGCAGUUAACCUCUGGCCCCAGUGCUCUGGGUUCUCUGGCAAGCCUGCAGACCAAGCUGAGUGGCGCCAUCUAGGCUGCAGUACCAGCAUGGUCAGCUGACCCCCAUGAGCCAAUCCCUGCUCAUCCAACCCUAUAAAGGAACCUUGGAACUCGCUCCUCGGUCUCUUGGUAACUCAUCUCUUGUAUGCAGAGGUUACUGCCUGUGCUGUUGCUCUUAUUUUAUUUUAUUUUGCCAAUUGCUGCCUUGGAUCUGGACUUCUGUCUAGCUUGGGUGGUGCACCUGCCUCUGGUGCUUAUUUCCAGUUCUGGAACCCAACUCCUGCCUGUUCUGGACCACAUGAUCUCAUCUAUGGGCCAGGCUCACAUAUUCUGGCCAUAGGUACCAUCUCCGGGGAUGAAUGCUCAUUGUGAUUUUGGGCAGCAUGUACCCCAGAGAUAGAAAAUAGGUGACUGUGUUUGUUGUACUUAAAGCUUUCUGUGGGUUCUCACCCCUUCUUCAACCCUGCCCCCAAACAAAUAGGGUAAAAUGGCAGUCACUUUUGCACAGAGAAAAGGGUUGAGGUCAGGGUUAGGGGAACAAGGAACAAAUCGUUGCAUACUCUCUGCAUGGAGUAAUCCUUGGAGGACAUUCCUGCCAAUAUUCAUCUCCAUUCUGCUGACAAAAUCGCUAAAAUGUUAUAGUUGUGUUUGUAUUUUGAAAACUUCUAAACGCUUUGAAAAGAAAGACCUUUGCAAAUGUGGCUGCUUGAGGUCCAACGCUCAGGACCAUGAAAGCCUGAGAACACCCUGAAAGCUGGAAUUCUUGCUAUGCUCUCACCUCUUUCCCAUCUCUCAGGGUACAGACCUUGUCAAAAAUCACCUUGAGCAUUCAUCUCCCCAGCUGGACCACUCUGUCUGGCUCAUGCAUUUAUCCUGUUUCUGGUCCACUUGGGGAGACACACACACAGAGCCGGUUUAUUCUGGGUCCUGCCUGGAACCUGCAGCCUGUAGUUCUGACAUCCUUGCUGAGUUCUGACAUCCACCACUUGAUGGGUGUGGUGGCAACCUGUGUGUUUGAAGGUAAUUUGAAUAGGUAGUCCUGCCCUGAGAAUCCAGGGGGUUUCCUCCAAGUUUCAAACACUGUGUGGUGGUGUUUAACAAAAGAAUUUUUUAAAAGACCAAUCUACUCUCCCACCCCAAACCAGAUGACAUCACCCGCACAUCCGCGCACAAACUUACUACACGUUUCCCCAGCUGCGAGAAGAGCCAAGAAUAGAAGCAGAAGGUAAAGUUGCUUCAUUGUUGUUGUUUUUCCUGUGGGGUGGAGGGGUGGGGGAAGAAUAUCAGAGUUUCAGCUUCUUGUAAGUGGGGUGAUGGAGGACCCUUAAGAGCAUUGGGCACCAUAAAUAAGCUUUCAUUAAACUGACCAGGAAUGUAGCAACUGAAUUUAUUCUUUUAAAUCAGUCAACAUCAUCCUUUCCAUAGGACAUAGGAAGAAACAUAGGAAGCUGUCAUAUACUGAGUCAGAUAAUUGAUCCAUCUAGCUCAGUAUUGUCUACACAGACUGGCAGCGGCUUCUCCAAGGUUGCAGGCAGGAAUCUCUCUCCGCCCUCUCUUGGAGAUGCUGCCAGGGAGGGAACUUGGAACCUUCUGCUCUUCCCAGAGUGGCUCCAUCCCCUGAGGGGAAGAUCUUACAGUGCUUAUACUUCUAGUCUCCCAUCCAAAUGCAAACCAGGGUGGAUCCUGCUUAGCAAAGGAGACAAUUCAUGCUUGUUUACAAUUAGGAUGGAACAACUUCUUUAGCAACUGGUACUCAGAGGAUCUCACGGCUAGUAGCUUGCAACAGACUUCUACCUUUAUUUGAGCUAUUGUACUAGUUGAUGGCGCAGCGGGAAAUGACUUGACUAGCAAGCCAGAGGUUGCUGGUUUGAACCCCCGUUGCUGUAUAUUGCUGCUGCCUGAUAUAGGUGCUUAUCUGGCAGCAGCGAUCUAGGAAGGUACUGAAAGGCAUCAUCUCAUACUGCGCGGGAGGAGGCAAUGGUCAACCCCUCCUGUAUUCUACCAAACCACACCACAGGGCUCUGUGGUCGCCAGGAGUCAACCACUGACUCGACGGCACACUUUACCUUUACUAGUUGAACUAGGAAGUAUAGACUGAGGAGGUCUCUGAAUGUGGCGUUCUGGUAAUGCCUGGAUAGCAAUAGUGCCACUUUUACUUUGGUUAAACAUACAGCUGAAUUCUAAGCCUAGUUGUAAAACUGUCUCCUUCAGUUCUAUGCAUAGUGACUGGAGAGAGAGUCAGCCCCAAUGGAUUUGGGCAUCAUCCAAAGAGUGUUAGGCCAGGAAGACCUGGGUUCAAAUUCUGCACUCAGCCAUGACACUGCUGCCUGGGGGACUUUGGUCCAGAGUCACCAACGCUCAACACCCCCUAUCUCAGAUGACUGCUCUGAGGGUAAGAAGAGCUUUGCUGGAUCAGGCCCAAGGAGGCCUAUCUAGACCAGCCUCCUGUUUCCCACAGUGGCCCACCAGAUGCCCUUGGGAAGACCCACAGGUAAGAGGUGAGGGCAUGCCUUCUCUCCUGCUGUUGCUCCCCUGCAACUGGCAUUUAGAGGCAUCGUGCCUCUGAGGCUGGAGGUGGCCUAUAGCUAAGCUACUGCACUAGUAGCCAUGGAUAGACCUGUCCUCCAUGAAUUUGUCCAAACCUC